rnacentral:sRNA from 1 species
CCAUACUAAACCUCUGAAAUGGUUCAUUUCUAUUCUCAGCACAGCUCAGCUCCUGAGGUUAAGGGACUCAGAUGCGUGUUGGCGGUGGUUGUUGGCUGACGGCUGCUUCGGACUUCCAAGGGCUGCCUGCAUUUCUCAGGUCUAACUGUACAGAACCCUGGGUUCCAAUCCCAGCACAGUGUAAACCCAUGCAGCAGCACAUUCCUCUAAUCCCUGUGUCCCUGUGGGUCAGAAGUUCAAGGACAUCUUUUGCUACAGAACAAAUCUGAGGCCAGCCUGGGCUACAUUUUGUUUCCAUGUAGUAAGUGUAUAUCCAUUUGUGACUGGGCAGUGGAGAAUCUAAGCAGCUGUGGGACAGAGCUGUCAAGCAAAGAAAAGAAGAACAAGCAGAGAACAAGGCCAUGUCACUCCCGCCGUUGUGGGAAAUAUCUGCAUGCAGACCUUAGUGGCUGCCAGACGAAAUUAAAAAUGGGUCCAUGAAACUAGGGGGAUUGAGAAUGACAUAAAGAAUGCUUCAGAGGCUCCCAGAUUUUAAGUGCUUUUCCACUUAAUCGUCUUUGGUUGCCAGAAGCCUGAAUUGAAGAGAACCCACUCUCUAUGCAUAGAAAAUGUUACCCUGGGAGAGAAGAAUGUCAGUGACCACCUGAGGAUGCUGAUGCGUUAGUCUGUUGAGCAAUGGCUUACUUUCUGAAGUCUCCACAUCACUCACCUACAGAAUGAAGUCCCUCUACCUUGAUACUGGCAGCUUCUUCUCCUAAAUGAAAUCCCUGCCUGAGAAGCAGAAGGAGUUGGAGAGUCACGCCACCGAAGAGUUUGUGAGUGUAACUUGGAGAGAUCGAUGGCCCUGUCAGUGACAUGGGAGAUGCCAGCCAAUUAGACUCGUUGGGGGAAUAUUCUUGGGAUCUCUCUGGUAAGCACAGGAAAGAAGAUUCUCCAUGAAUGUAUGUCAAAAGGUAAAAAUAAGUGGAGCAGAAGUUGCAGAUGCCAGCCUAUCAUAUCUCCUGUUUGAGGCAAACGCAGGAGCAAAGCAGUGGGAGGUACCUGGAUAGGCUUGUCAGGCACUGUGUUAGUGCACACUGAAUAGUGUUUUAUGAUGGCUCAGAAACCUCUGUGUUCCUAACAGAAUUCAAUAUAACCAAACAUGUGUGUGUGUGUGUGUUGCCAGAGGACAACUGCAAGUGUUUUUCCUCAGACAACAUCCAUCCUUUAUUGAGACAGGGUCUCUGAUUAGCCUCAAACUAUCCAAGUUGGACACCUAUUGGGCCUUACUUAUCUCUCUCAUUCUAUGUCCUCAGUUCUGGGAUUACAAGGAUAUAAUUGACACUAUCCAAGAGUAAUGAAUUUCAGUGCUUAUACUCAAAUAAGAUAGAAUAUAUCUGGUGUCCCUCCUAAAAGAAUGUUUUAUUUAAAGCAAAUGACAAGGCCAGCAGU